AUUGAACGCUGGCGGCAGGCUUAACACAUGCAAGUCGAGCGGGGUGAUGGUGCUUGCACUAUCACUUAGCGGCGGACGGGUGAGUAAUGCUUAGGAAUCUGCCUAUUAGUGGGGGACAACAUCUCGAAAGGGAUGCUAAUACCGCAUACGUCCUACGGGAGAAAGCAGGGGAUCACUUGUGACCUUGCGCUAAUAGAUGAGCCUAAGUCGGAUUAGCUAGUUGGUGGGGUAAAGGCCUACCAAGGCGACGAUCUGUAGCGGGUCUGAGAGGAUGAUCCGCCACACUGGGACUGAGACGCUGCCCAGACUCCUACGGGAGGCAGCAGUGGGGAAUAUUGGACAAUGGGGGGAACCCUGAUCCAGCCAUGCCGCGUGUGUGAAGAAGGCCUUAUGGUUGUAAAGCACUUUAAGCGAGGAGGAGGCUCUUUUGGUUAAUACCCAAGAUGAGUGGACGUUACUCGCAGAAUAAGCACCGGCUAACUCUGUGCCAGCCGCCGCAGUAA
rnacentral:rRNA from 1 species